rnacentral:rRNA from 1 species
AUUGAACGCUGGCGGCAGGCCUAACACAUGCAAGUCGAACGAGUGGCGGACGGGUGAGUAAUGUCUGGGAAACUGCCCGAUGGAGGGGGAUAACUACUGGAAACGGUAGCUAAUACCGCAUACCAUCAGAUGUGCUCAGAGGGGAUUGGCUUGUUGGUGGGGCAACGGCUCACCAGGGCGACGAUCCCUAGCUGGUCUGAGAGGAUGACCAGCCAAACUGGAACUGGGACACGGUCCAGACUCCUACGGGAGGCAACAGUGGGGAAUGUUGCACGAUGGGCGCAAGCCUGAUGCAGCCGUGCCACGUGUAUGAAGAGGGCCUGCGGAUUGUAAAGUACUUUCAGCGGGGAGGCGUUACCCGCAGAAGAAGCACCGGCUAACUCCGUGCCAGCAGCCGCGGUAAUUC